ensembl:lncRNA
AUGCCAUCUGGAAAACAAGAGUAUGUAUUGCAUAAAAUUUAUAAAAGGGGUUAUAGGGACAGGUUAUAUUUAAGUGAGGUUAAAUCAAGCUCAUUUUAUCACUGCUGUGGUUAUGUUAUGUUAUGUUAUGCUAUGCUAUGCUAUGCUAUGCUAUGCUAUGCUAUGCUAUGCUAUGCUAUGCUAUGCUAUGUUAUGUUAUGUUUUGUAACUGAAAUCUGAAACCUACACAAAAAUACCUGGGUGUGGGUGAGAGAAUGUUACUCCCCAAACAGCAUAAAGAAUUAAUUUUAAUCUAGGUUUCUGUUAUGUAAAUUGCCAUCAAUGGAAAUGGAAAACUCAAUAGGCAGCUGUAGACUGUUCCAUGUAAUUUUUAACUGCAGUGCGACUUGUCCACUAUUUUAGUAUUUUUAUCAGCAAAGUUUAACAAGUACUGGUAAGAGUCAAAGCAGAGAAUUAAUUAAAAAUAGAUUUUACAAUGAUGUUGGUUAUAUAGCAGCCUUCUUCAAAAAGAUAUUGUUCUUUAAAAAUGGUCAGCUUCAAUAUAGAUGAAAAUGUUUCAUAAAAAACAAAACAGACAAAAGAAACCAAGACAACAUAACAUUACAAAAAACCAUAAAAAGAACCAACAAAAAAGAGUAUUUACACAGUAUUUUUUUGUUUAAAACACCUAGUGAAUAGAUGCCUCUCUCUCUAUAUAUAUAUAAAAUACUUGCUCUGUUUAAAAUUUAUGUGAUUUAGACAGCAAAGAUCACAUGAACUGAAACUCAAUCUUUUAUGAUUCAGUAGUCAGUAAAGGAAAAUGAAAAGUGUACAAAACAUUCAAAAUUACAAAUGUAUGCAUAUACUUACAAAAUGUUUAAUACUUCAGUUAUAUAAAAGGCUGUGAGUUACAUAAAAAAACUUGUGUGCAAUAUGAUUCAUUUGGAUGCCUCAACAUAUUUAACACCUGACUAAUUAUUUUAAGUAUUAGAGAAUAACUAAAAUAAUAUCCCAAUUAAAUUUUUUAACCUGGGCACUAGGUGAAUAGUAUAUCUAUCUCACUAAGUACAAGCAAAAUAUCCUUAAUUUAGAUGGGCCAUGUUUGCUGCUCUGUCAUACUGCCACAGUGGAUUUUUCCUGCAUCUGUGAUGAGAAUUGUCAAGUGGGAUAAAUUAGCAGAGUCCCAGGGCCUCCAUUGUAACUGUACUUUCUGUGAGUAACACGUCCAGCUCUCAGCAGAGGAAGUAUUUAGGAAUCUUACUUCCCCUAAAAUAAAUGGAAUUAAAUGCCAAAAUAAGUUUACUGGCUCUAGGUUCUAGCCUUUUAUUCAAAAGUCUCUAAUUCAUUUCAGUCUUUAAUCCUUAAGUGGCUGUAAACAACCACAAGGCUCUGGUAGAGCAUUGCAAGGUCAAAACCAGAAAAGUACUGAAAUCCAAUUUAAAUCUUUUGCCAGAAGUUCCAGAGACCUGAUGUUAUGUAUUUAUUGAUUUCAUUAAGUGGAGUAUGAUAUUUGUGUAGAUCUGCAGUUUUCUUUUUGGAAUGGUGUGCUGGGCCAAAAGUCAGUAUUUUACCUACCUCUUCUGUCUUCACCUUAUCCUUCCCUCCUCUCUAUCCUUACACCUAUUAGGCUCCCUCUCCUUUGUAGUCAUCUUCAGCACAGGCUGAAUGACUUUCCCACUCCUUUGAUUGUCUUUACCUCAUUUUGAAUCAGAAUAUCACUUCUGCUCUUCAAUAAAGCUAAACGGGAAAAAAGCAAGUUACACUAAAGAGAGAGAUGGAUGAUGAAGGGGUGUGACUA